rnacentral:lncRNA from 1 species
CGAGGAGGUAUUUACGCACGAGCAUUUCUGGGGAAGUCUGAAGCUCAACCAAGUACGGAAAGAGCUCUGCGGCGUGAGAAGGCUCUGCAGAUAGCAGUAUGUCCUUGACUUGCUUCAAGGACGACAGCUUUACAGCCAAAUCCCCAUGGUUGUUCGCCGAAGCGAGGAGAGGAAGCGCCUGCUCCUGCGCUGGCCCAGCCAUGGAAUAAUUCAGGACUCAAGGAGGAGGAGAAAAGAUUUUUCAAAUUAAUUAAUUGAGGUUUUGUACUAGUUUAGGGUUUUCUAGGGUUUUGAAUUGGGGGUGAUGGGAUUAUGCUUAUAUUUAGAAAAAUAAGGGUAGGGAUGAAAUGGUGUAAUGAAAUGAAUGGAAAGAGUGGGUGAAUUACAGAGCCUGGCGCCUGCGAAGAAGCGGUUUUGCUUGGUGUGGGAGAAUAUGGAUAUUAUAUAGUCACGUUCCCGGGUCGGGUUUAUUUAGUCUGAUCCGCUGCUGGCAGUACUGGACUUGUUUCCCGGGUCGCGCCCGUGUGAAGUGGUUUUAACAUCGUGGGAAAAACAUAGAAAAACCUCUUGAUACCCUACCCAUAUACUUUUGGUGUGAUUAUAUUGUCAUUAGUGUUAUAAAAUGUGGGGGCGGGGGGAAUAAGGUAAAAAAGUCAAUGAAUUUAUGCAUGUUUCAUUGAAAAUCAAAAAAGCUUCAUAUACAAUGUUAAUAAUAAUCAAGGCUGCAGACAUAAUUCUCAUUCACUAAUAACAUACUAUUGACAACAAUUACAGUUUUCUUUUAUUCGACAUUUUUAAUUAUACUAAAAUUCUCAAAUUUUUAUUAUUAUCUCUUUCAUUUCUCCCACCUUUGUUAUCAUUUUCUUAUUAUGAACAUUCCAUUUUCACAUAUUUGGUCAAUGUUGAUAAUUUGUCUAAAUAUUUUGUUAGCAUGAUUUGAAAUAAGAGAUAAAAAUUAUGUCGCACUUUUAUAUUUGUUGUUUUGCUUGUAUGAUAAAUAAGUCUUAAUACGCCCUCGUGACAAACUUUUUGAACAAAAAUGUUAUUAGAGACAAAAUAAACUAUUUAAUUUAAAGAUAGAAAAGCAAAAAAAUAAAAUAAAAUAAAAUAAGAGAGAGUGCGUGUGUGUGUUACAAAUGUUGCAAAAUAAAGAAAUUUUAAGUCACAUUUAGUACAGUUAAAAGUAAUGGAAUAUUGGCAAUAUAAACAUGAGCUAUGCUAGAUGUAUAUUAUGUACAAAAAUUAUGUACAAGUAGACUUUUCAUAUAACCAUGUAGACUGAUAAAGGUAAUAAUGGAAUGAUGGCAAUAUAACCUAAUAGACUAAUAAAGGUACUCUUGAGCAUCCAAGAACAAGCAGAUUCAAUCAAACGACGAAUUCUUACGUUGUUUAAGGAAAUCAAAGGUUCGCUUCCAUGAUGUCAUCUAUAUGGAAUCUCUAAGUAUUAAUGGUUAACCAACUUCCAUAUAAAUGCCUCAAUAAGUAGAACUGCCUUUGGGUGGAGAAUUUUUUUGCCCCCCUUUAUUCUGGCAGCUUUCUUUGGGAAAAGAGGUUGUUAUUUGAACUUCAUGCAAUUUAGUUCGGAGUUGAACACUAAAAUAAUCUUAAGUCAAGCAAAUUUGUAUUACUUCUUAUGAACUUUGUAUCUAGGACACACCAACACAUUAAUCAAAAACUGUGGAACAAUUUAUGUUACUUCCCUUUUUUCUCUUUUUUAUGGGAUGGGGAGCACCCAAGGUUCUCAUGUCUACUAAAGCACAAAUAUAAAACCUCUUAUCCGAUUAAAAUCAUCAUUUAGUAGAAAAAUCAACUGUCAAGGUUCAAUCUUUUUGUUCCUUCAACAAUUACAAGAUCUUGAUCACAAAAAGCAGAAGACGUGUCUGUCUAAAAAAAUCUUUUAUCCGUCAAAAAAUCAUGAAAAAUGACAUAAGCCCAAUUUAAGUAAUUUUUUUAUUUCCCCGACUACAUUAAGAAAGAAAAUCAUGUUUAAUGCAUUAACCAAAAAAUCAAAAAUAAAAUAAAAUAGAGCCGGAAAAUAAAGAAUUCACAGAACUACCAAAAUCGGAAAUUAUUCUCUAUUUCGAGUAACAAUAACUUACUCGAGGAGGUAUUUACGCACGAGCAUUUCUGGGGAAGUCUGAAGCUCAACCAAGUACGGAAAGAGCUCUGCGGCGUGAGAAGGCUCUGCAGAUAGCAGUAUGUCCUUGACUUGCUUCAAGGACGACAGCUUUACAGCCAAAUCCCCAUGGUUGUUCGCCGAAGCGAGGAGAGGAAGCGCCUGCUCCUGCGCUGGCCCAGCCAUGGAAUAAUUCAGGACUCAAGGAGGAGGAGAAAAGAUUUUUCAAAUUAAUUAAUUGAGGUUUUGUACUAGUUUAGGGUUUUCUAGGGUUUUGAAUUGGGGGUGAUGGGAUUAUGCUUAUAUUUAGAAAAAUAAGGGUAGGGAUGAAAUGGUGUAAUGAAUGAAUGGAAAGAGUGGGUGAAUUACAGAGCCUGGCGCCUGC